UACGUAGGCAGCAAGCGUUGUUCGGAGUUACUGGGCGUAAAGAGUGCGUAGGUGGUGCCCUAAGUCUGUUGUGAAAUCUCCCGGCUUAACUGGGAGGGUGCGGUGGAAACUGGGGUGCUUGAGUGUGGGAGAGGUAAGCGGAAUUCCUGGUGUAGCGGUGAAAUGCGCAGAUAUCAGGAAGAACACCCGUGGCGAAGGCGGCUCUCUGGGACGGUACUGACGCUGAGACGCGAAAGCGUGGGGAGCGAACAGG
rnacentral:rRNA from 1 species